ACGGGUGAGUAACGCGUAAGAACUUGCCCUUUAGACUGGGAUAACAGAGGGAAACUUCUGAUAAUACUGGAUAAGUUAGUAUAUCGCAUGAUAUGCAAAUGAAAGCUACGGCACUAGAGGAGAGCUUUGCGUCCUAUUAGCUAGUUGGUAAGGUAAGAGCUUACCAAGGCGAUGAUAGGUAGCCGGCCUGAGAGGGUGGACGGCCACAAGGGGACUGAGAUACGGCCCUUACUCCUACGGGAGGCAGCAGCU
rnacentral:rRNA from 1 species